UGACCUCGGAUCAGGUAGGG
rnacentral:rRNA from 6 species